CCAGACUACCUCAGACAAAGAGCAGAGAGAAUCAGAGAGGUAAAGGUGUGAGGGCAGGAAGCUCGAUGCUGAAGACAGAAGAAUAACACAGUGGAAGUUGUCCUGUGGACGAUUUAGCUCUAUUGAAGAACAUCAAUCCAGCUGUCAAAACAGCUGGUGCUCAAAUACUACUCUAUAAUGGGGUAGGCAGUGUGUAUGUGUGUGUGUGUGUGUGUGUGUGUGUGUGUGUGUGUGUGUGUGUGUAUGUGUGUAGGUGUGUGUGUAAGUGUACGUGUGUGUGUGUAGGUAUGUAUGUGUGUUUAGGUGUAGGCGUGUGCACGAGUAGGUUUGUGUGUAGGUGUUCGUGCAUGUGUGUAUUAAGGUGUAGGUGUGUGUGUAUGGGUAUAGUUGUGUGCGUGUGUGUGUGUUUAGGUGUGUAAGUGUGCAGGUGUGUGUGUGUGUGUGCUGGUGUUUGUG
ensembl:lncRNA